UGAAGUCAAGAAGCUUUUAUUGUCAUUUCAGCCAUAUAUAGCUGACGCAGUACACUGUGAAAUUAAACAACGUUUCUCCAGGACCCUGGUGCUACAUAAAACAACACAGAGCAAAGGACUUAAAAUAUUUCAGUGACACCACUAUCGGCUGAGGGUAUUGGCAAAUGUUUCUCCAAUCUACAGAAUUUGUAUCCAGGUAAAGCCUGUGGUGGAUUUAGAGCCACUCUGGAUCUCAG